rnacentral:sRNA from 1 species
AACCUUUAGUUGGUUAAUGCGACAUCAACACGUCGUUGGUGGAGACAAAAACCAACGUACCAGGCUUAUUCCUGUGGAGUUAUAUAUGAGCGAUAAAAUUAUUCACCUGACUGAC